GCCAAGAAUCUUCCGCAAUGGGGGAAACCCUGACGGAGCGACGCCGCGUGAGGGAUGACGGCCUUCGGGUUGUAAACCUCUUUUAGUAGGGAAGAAGCGAAAGUGACGGUACCUGCAGAAAAAGCACCGGCUAACUCCGUGCCAGCAGCCGCGGUAAUACGGAGGGUGCGAGCGUUGUCCGGAUUUAUUGGGUUUAAAGGGUGCGUAGGCUGGAAGGUCAGUCAGCGGUGAAAAGCUGUCGCUUAACGAUAGUCUUGCCGCAGAUACUUCCUUUCUUGGAUGAGGAGGAGGCCGCUGGAACGGAUGGUGUAGCGGUGAAAUGCAUAGAUAUCAUCCAGAACACCGAUUGCGAAGGCAGGUGGCUGUACCUUAAUCGACGCUGAUGCACGAAAGCAUGGGGAGCAAACAGGAUUAGAUACCCGAGUAGUCC
rnacentral:rRNA from 1 species